rnacentral:lncRNA from 12 species
AUGUGGACAUGCCUUCAAAACUUUAAAGAGCUGGAAAGUGCAAUGGUGACCUCAGCCAGAAUUCCUACCUGUGAACCAGCACAACCAACCACAGGCAGCCUGAGCACCAGAGGAAAUUUCCAGAGAGGACAUAAAACAGCUUCAUCUGGAUGGAGGCUUGUGCCAAUGUCAAGAAUUACACAGACAGUACAAUACAGGGAAGUGUGGCCUAUGUUUGGCACCAGAAGGUCCCAAAGUUCAUGGAUUAUUCUUUCCUUAGGAAAUAAACAGUUGGAAAUCAAAUGGGUAAAAGGAAAAGUACUCGCUACAGGUUUCAGCUGGCAGAAAGUAUUACCCACAAGCGCCAUAUCUGCAAUGAGAAGUUAUUGGUUCAACUGCAGUGAAGGCAGUGAGGCAGCAGAAUACACCAUCCCUUUCUAUGUUGUAUGCAUGCAAUAAACAGUGAGCAGGAAAAAAAAUCGCAACAUGCUCAGAUGAUGAAACAGUUGGAGUUCAUCAAGGCAUUCCUGUGGAAAACCCAUGAAACUGCAAAAAUUCUGUUUAAUCCUCACAGUCACCUCUUGCCCCCUGCCAGUAACUCUUGAAGAAUAAUGACAUUAAAGAUAAUUCUUGUUUUUCUCACUUUUUACCAACACUCUCCAGUGAAGACUUUUCCUGCCCUUUUACUUCUUCCUGAUACUGGGUAGAGGCAGAGAUGUGUAGUAAAAUAAACACAGAUAAAGGAAUUAGGAGGUCUAGAUU